UCCGGGCUUCCGUCGCCGCCGUCGCCGCGGCCGCCGCCGCCCGGCCGUGCCGGGCUCGGCUCCUCCGAACCGUCUGGCGGACUUGGCACCGGCCCCGGCUCUUCAGUGCCCCCGCGGACCCUACCUAAAUUCUCUGGCAAGAAAGAGGAAAGGAGAUGAGGGGCUGGCUUUCAUCCCCGUUGCUGUAUUGGGUGGAUCCUGCCUUUCUCCUUGAAGGAGCUUUCCUCAGCCCUGGGAAGGAGGAAGCUGGUGAAGAAGUUGAGGCCCAUUUCUCCAGACCUGUGGAGGUCACGUUCGUGAACAGGAUCAGAGCCACUCUGGCACUCAGUGGCUCAUCUCUAGAAAUAUCAAUCAAUCAAUCACUCUGGCUGCUGUGCCAAAAAUAGACUGAAGGAGACCGAGAACAGAGGCUGUGGUCUCGCAGGAGAGAGGAGACGGCGGCUUGGACCCGGGUGGACUCAUCCUGCAGUGGAGGGAGUGGAAAAGAGCCAGUGAGGGUGGAGCAUGGAGGGAGCAUCAGAAGAUGACACUGGAGAGGAAGCAGGGACCAGACCCACCUGGUCAGGAGUUUGGAUUUUAUUCUAUGUGCUAAGAAAGCCUCUGUGAGUUUUAAGACAAGAGGAGAACGUCUCUGGAAUUCCUGCUGUGGCACAACAGGAUCGGCAGCAUCUCUCCAGGGCCAGGACACAGGUUCGAUCCCUGACCUGGAACAGUGGGUUAAGGGAUCUGGUGUUACCAACGGGGUAGGUCACAACAACGGCUUGGAUAUGAUCUGGGAACUCCUUAUGCCCUGGGGUGGCUGAAAAUGAAAAGAAGAGAGGAGGAGGAGCAGGGAAAGGCCCAGCUUCUAUUUUUAAAAGAUGACCCUAGCUGCUGUGGGAGAAUGGAUUGCAGGGGGGCAAGGUGGGAGGCUAGAGCAGAGACUCAGAGGAGAGCUGAUAUGACCCGGCUUAGGGGGCAAGCAUUGAGGAAGGAGAGAAGAGUCUGGACUUGGGGUACAUCAGUAGUUCUUGGUGAGAGUCUAUAUGGAGAGUGAGAAAUAGGGAGAACUUGGAGUUCCCACUGUGGCGCAGUGGAAAUGAA